UAAAUAAUUUAAAACACAGGCCCUUAAGGAGUUCCCAGUGUGGCAGGUGGGCUAAAGGAUCUGGAGUUGCCUUAGCAACUGCAGCUAGUAUUCAAUUCCUGGCCAUGUGCCACAGGGUGGGGCCAAUUAAAAAAAAAAAGUUAAUCAAGUCAAUCAUUAGUGCCUCACAAUAUCUGCUUUUGGCUCAGUGAACAGUGAUUUUUAAUCUUCAAUCUAAUUUAAUCUAGGAGGAUUCUUGAAUGUUGUAUACUAAAGUGCAAGUGCUAGAUAGCUUCAGAAGGCCUCCAGGAAGCUAUUCAGACAAAUGUGAGUCAACAUCAUAGUGACACAAAAAUAAGGAAAUCACCAAAGACUGCCUUGUGAAAUGGAGAGAACUAAAUGUUAAUGCAUCGUUGUAGUUUACCUACCCAAGUGUAGGAAGCAGCCACUCUAACAGCUGAGAAAAGUCUGAAGGACAGACCAUUCUCACACUGGGCAACUAGAUAAGCAAAUGAGGCAGGAGUGCAAAUAGGUUGCAGUCACCACAGGGAAUCAUUAGACUAGUAAAAAGAAGUGUGAAAAGAGCUGUCCAUCACCCAUCAGUCUUCCUGAUGGGUGCAAGAGCUUCCUGAAACUCAGAAAGCCACAACCCUUGCUUGACACUAUCUGUCCCCCAGUGAAAGUAAACAGACCUAAGACACACUAGAACCAAAUUGAUGACUUCACAGAACCCAAACAUACUUGGCAUUUGGCAGUUCCCUUCCUCUGGUAUAUAAAUGACAUUAUCUAAAUGGCUAGAAAACUGGGGAAAACGUGAAAUAACGUUUUUAUAACCCAGGACUCUUGAUCAAAUAUAUCAAAAAUUCAGUUAAAUGGCAAUGACCCAGAGUAAUCAAUCACCCUAAGUUACAUAUUAAUUGAAUCUUUCACAAUGUCACCAAGAUUUGCCUGGAUAGGCAAAAGAGAAAAGGACUCCAAAACCUGCAGGACUGCUUCCUGACAUUUGGGAUAGAGGAGGAUGAGAGUAGAGUGUUUAGGGAUAUGGACUCUAGAACAAAUUGUUUAUUAGUUCAGUGUCCCUUACUUGUUAGCUGGUGAUCUUAGACAAGUUAGCCUUUCUGUGCUUCGAUUUCCUUAUCUGUAAAAUGAGAAUGUUAGGCUCUAUCCCAUAGGGCAGUUAUGAUAAUUAAAUGUGUUUAUUAAAAGUAAAAAGUUUACAACGGCAUUAUUUGUUUGCUAUUUCUGGCAAUUUCCCGUUUAUUUUCUACAAAGUGGUGGGAGACAAGGCUUCACCUUUAACUAAAUGCCUGUGGUUCCAGGUGUAAUUAAGGAGAAAAAGGAAGUCAGGGAGAAGGGGGUUGGAAAAAAAAGAAAAUCUGACACCUCUUGAUUCCAAAACUUACUACAAAAUAGCAGUCAUCAAGAUACUGUGGUACUGGAGUUCCUGUAAUGGCACAACAGAAACGAAUAUGACUAGGAACCAUGAGGUUGCAGAUUCUUUAACCACUGUGCCACGAUAAGAACUCCUAUCUACAGGUUUUUCAUCUAUGGAUCAAGAAUAUUCAGGAAAAAAAAACAAAAACAAAAAACAGAAAGUUCCAAAAAGCAAAACUUAAAUUUGCCAAAUCCAUACAACUAUUUGCCCAUCAUUCACACUGAACUUACAACUACAGUUGACCCUUAAACAAUACAGGUUUGAACUUCACAAGGCCAACUUACACUCAGUUCUUCAAUAAAUAAUAUAUUACUACACAAUCCAUAGCUGACUGAAUCCAAAUGAAUAUGAGACUUGAAUAUCCAGAUUUUGGUAUGCAGGGCAGGUCCUAGAACCAAUCCCUGCAGAUACCAAGGGACAACAGUACUUACAUAGUAUUUACAUUGUAUUAGGCAUUAGAAGUAAUCUAGAGAUGAUUUAAUAUAAAUGAAAUGGCGUGUACAAGAUAUACGCAAAUACUACGUCCUUUUUUUUUGGCAGCACCUGUGGCAUGUGGAAGUUCCUGGGCCAAGGAUCAAACCCAAGUGGCUGCAGUAACAAUGCAGUGCCAAAAGAGAACUCCACUACGCCAUUAUAAUAAGGGACAUAAGCAUCUGCAGGUUUUGGUUAUCUGUGAGGAUCCUGGAGCCAGUACCCCAAAGGAUAACAAUCUUCAUUUCUAUAUUCCCUACAAUGCCUAGCAGAGUCAAAAACAGCAAUGAACAGAAAUAUGCACUCACCAAUUAAAUUAAUGAUAAGAAACCUAGGCUCCCUAUGUUAAUGGAUAAAAAUGUGUUAGUAUGAUAAAGAGUUAAUUUUAUAACUUUCUGAAAAGGAAACUUUCAAAAGCUCAAGUUACUAAAAUUAGACAUUACCUCAAAUUUACUUCCUCUUAGUUACUUCCCUUCUUUUCUGAACUGGCCUUGAGUCUCAUUCUUCAAGUAGGAAGUUAUUUCUUUUCAAAGAAGACUUACAAGUAACAAGCCAUUGUAUGUAAAACUCCCUAGUCCCUACAUCCAUGUAUCAAACACCACCAAGAAGAGGAGAAAGAAAAGACUAAAUGUCUGUCUUAUCACCUUAGAUAUGGCAAAAAGCCUUGAGGAAAAGACCAGUACUCUUGGAGUAUUUUAGAGGGCAGCAGUUUUCAACCAUGAUGAAGAGACUCAGUAUAGGGGAUCAAACAUAAUUUGUUAAUAAUAGCUAAUGUACUGAUAAUUGCAAGCAAUUUAUUUUUUCCAUAAUUAGAGCAGAUUAAAGGUUACCUGAUAUAGUAGUGUUCUUUUUCCUAAAAUGAAAAUUUCCCAAUUGAACAAAUAACCUUGGUUUAACGCCAAAAAGAGUUUUUAAGGCCAAUAAGCAUUCCUUUCUUGCAUUCCAUUAAGUGUUCCCGAAUAGAAAAGGCCUGGAAAUUGUGCAUCACCAUGGUUAUCUUACCUUGUGAAUAAUCAUGAUUACUGACUAUAGUGGAGGAAAGUGUAAUCACAUGCACUCUAACCUCUACCUCAUUCAGAUUCUGGAAGAGGACAGCUGACACAAGCUGGGAGGAUUCCAAGUGAUCCUUAUCUACUAUCCCUUCCCACCCAAAACAGUACUGUACCAUCAACCUUACUUGACCAAACGUUACUUUUGGCUUUCAAAAUCUGAGUCUCAUCCUAAAUGUGUCUCAUGAACAUACAGCAUCUACUAUAUGGACUAUUCAAUAAAAACAGAAAUAUUCAUUACAUUGAUAGGUCCCACAGAGGCUAGUCAAAGCAAAAGGUUCUAGACGUUCUCUGUGGCAUAGCAGGUUAAGGAUCCUGCAUUGUCACUGUAGUGACUCAGGUUGCUUCAGUGGUGAAGGUUUCAUCCCUGGCUUAGGAACCUCCACAUGCCACACAAGCAGGGCAAAAAAAAAAAAAAAAAAAAAAAA
rnacentral:lncRNA from 1 species